UGGGCUCGAUAGGGCGCGGGCGAAUCGCUUUCGGCAGCGAAGGAACGUGUCGGGAGAAGCCAACCACAGGACCAGGGCCCUAGCGGGCGCGCGGAGACGCCUGCCUUGGGCGGAGGUCCCCCCCUCCAGUUUUCGUGGCUCUGGCAGGGCCCUCUGUCCCGUGAGCUCCCCACUGGACCUGUGGCUCCAGGCUUCAGCAGGUCAAGCGCCCGAGUGUGCCUGGAGGAUUGGCGGCGGGGUGGCAUGAGAAAGUGGCCCCUCUUCUCCAUCUCCCAGUCCGGCGAUUUCUCUGCUGUCUGGGGCAGGGGCGCACACCCCAGGAACUUACCACCUAGAGGGAAGCCAGCCUGGUAUCUCCCCCUUGCCUCAGUGCUCCCAAGCUGCCCCUCACCACUCUGGGUAGGGGUCUUUCAGGUGGGCUAGGGAAUUCUCCUUGGAAGGCCCCCUGUCUGCUGCCCUCCAUCAGGGCACCUGUGAGUUAGCCGGUCAUCCCCUUUUCUGGCCUCUUUUUUGCGGGGAGGAGAGUAGAGAGGGAAGCCUCCUACUCGGCAGGUCUCUGAGAGGAGGUUUGGGGGGACUUCUGAGGUUGCCCCUCCUGGGCAGAGUCAAGGGGUGUUGAGGGUUCCAACUUUUACUGGACAAUCUCUCAAGCUCGAACUCCCUGAUUUCUGGGAGGUUUCAGUGUAGGGCUUGUGUCCUGCCCCCACCCACACAGCAUUUGGUGCAGGCACAUAGGAUGGUUCCCCAAGCCCUUUUUCCACAGUUAGUUUCAGAAAAUGCAUAAGCCACCUAAGGCUGGGAGAGCCUUUCUGUGCUGCCUGAGAUCUGGUGGCAUGUGCAUGCAUGUGUGUGCAAGUGUGUGUGUGUGCAAGUGUGUGUGCGCAUGUGCAUGUGUGUGGAAAUGGUCUGGGUGGCUGUAAGACUGGCCCCUCUAGUCCCCUCUGCAGGCCCAGCCCAAUAAGAAGCACCUGAUCCACACUCUUUCUAGCCCCAGGGAUGCUCAGGGAAGCAGCCCUUCUUGAGGGCUGUCAUCUGUUCUGGGGAUCUAUGGCUGCUUCUUGGGCCCACAGACUAUACUCCAUACCUCCGGACUCCAUAAUAUUGGACAAGGCUGGAAGGCCCAUUUGGCUCCUGCAGCCUCUUGUGCAGUUGAGGACAGACCCAGGGUGCAGGUGAUACUGGCCUUUGGGACACAGAACCUGGCUCAGUAACUCCCACUCCGGUCGCCUUUUCCCUCUUCUCAACCCUCUCUCCUCCGGAGCAACACUUGUCCCUCCUUCCUUCCUCUCUCUAGGGCUGCACCCCCAGCUCACCUUAGACCUGGCCCUUCCUACCUGUUGCCCCUACUGUCUUGUCCUGUCCCAGUGGUCAGGAGGGAGAGUACUGGCCAAAGGCCCAGCUCCACCUGUGACUCAGGGAAGCACCAGGCAUCACCCAGAGGUCUCGGUCCCCAGAGGCCUGGCAGGCUCUGCUGUGGGGGAAGCAGAGUUUGAACUGGGGCUGCUUCUCCUGCCCUGCAACCUGACUGGGCCUCCCCCGCCUCCCUUUCUGUCUGCCCUCUUACAAUUCCAGCAGGGGGCGGGCAGGGGAAAGAAAAGGAGGGACAAGUUGGACGGGGUCCAUUUGGUGUCCAGGAACAACUUGGAGAGAGGCAGGGAGGGGACAGGCAGCAGGGCCCUGGCAGAGCGAGGGGAGGGCUGGCCUUUGGAUGGCGUUCUGAUCCCAAACACAUCCUCCUGGGGCAGUCUGCCCUUGAAAGGUAGGGCUUGGUGAACCCUGGUGCAGGGCCCCCCUGCCCUCGCCACCUCACUGCCCCAGUGUGGGGCAUGGUAGACGGGUUUGCAAUGGGUGCAGUCUCUCUCUCCAUUCCAGUAGAGCAGCUCCCAGGGCCCAGAGAGGCUGUCACUGAGACUUCCCUCUGGGGUGGGGUGGGUCCUGGUGGCCCUGCGUUCCCCUGCAGGAGGACCUCCUGAGGCUUCGGGCAGGAGCUGGUGCACACCUGGAGGAGAGUGCUGGUGAACGACAGGUGUGUGCCUCAGUGUUCUUGCUGCCUGGGUGUCAACCCUGCUUCAUCACUGGCCCUUUGUUUCCGUCCCCUCCACUGACCUCUUAAAGCACAGAGACCCUCCGGGUACUUUCCUUCCUCUGGGCUUCCGCUCGUGCUAUUCCCUGCUCCCUUCUUCUACCUGGAGACCCCCAUUCCUCCUCCUUCUCCACUGCCCUCACCUCCACCUGGGCCCUCUCAGCUCCCGGGAGAUGGCUGAGCCCCACUCCCCGCCCGCUAGUCAUCCUCUUCAGCGGUCCUCCCGGAGCUGUCCUCGGCAUGGCAGCCUCCACAGCCCCUGGGUUUCACCCCUGGUUUCCAGUCUGUCUUGGACUCCAGACCUGCCCCUCCCACGCUGGCCCAGAUGGAUCCUCUGCAGUGACUAACCCGAACCGGCACCGGGUGAGGACCCAAUAAACCUUUGUGAAUGGAGUAAUUGAGUGCGGUGUGUACUUACUGAAAACUCCUUGUUUGGGGAGAAACUCAGGGUAUUUCACUCUGUCCUUUCGUGCACCUGCAGCAGUGAGCUGGGGCAGCAUGUCGGCAGCCAGGGCUGAGAACCAUUGGUCAGGACCUGCCGCUGUGAGCAGACAACACUUCCUGGGAAGUCCCCUUGGGGCGUGGUGUCUGGUGAAUGCACCUGUCACCUGGUCACCGGGCCAAUCUGUUUCCCUUUCUGGGCUAAACAGGUCUUCCCGGGUACCUGGGCCCUCCCAUGGAGGUGUUUACACUUCUCAUUUGCUUCAAAAAUGAAUUCUUCUAUCCACACGCUUGUCUAGGUUGAGCAUGGGGACACCCUGCAGGGGACGGGGUGGGAGAUGGCCGAGGGACCCAGAGCUCUGGUCUGAGAGGUGUCCUCAACAUGACAGAUCUUCAUCCCUUUGAAAGUUUGAGGCAGGCAUGGGGGAGGUGGCAGGACUCUGGGGUGACUGGGCAGGCUGGGAUCCCAGCCAGGACGGCUUGUCAGGGCCCCAGGGCCUGGAUCUAGCAGGGGUGUUUGGCAGCAUUUGGGGGUUGGAGAAGGUCUGGGGCUCCCGGCCAAGGAAAGGAGAAGGCCUAGGAGGCAGUGCCCUGGCUACUUGCUGUGUGACCCUGGGCAUCUCUGGCCCCUUCUCAGGUCUCAUCUGCAUCAGGUGUGGGUUGGGUGGCGACUUUCCAGUGCCUUUCCCAUGCGGUCAUUCUGCAGGCCAGAAGGUUCUAGGAAGUUCUAGGAGACCCUGUUCUGGCCCUGCCUGCUGUUCUGCAGCUGCUGAGAGCCCCACUUGAGGAUGAAGGUGCCCCAGUGCUGGUCCUACCUGGCCUCAUGCUCUGCCACUUCCACCCAGUACCGCCUCCGCCUGCCCACUUCCUGCUGCAGCUCAGGGCCCUCCAGCCCGGCCUGGGCUCUGACUCGUUCCUGGCAUGAGUGCUGCUGUGCUCCCUGGUGCUCAGCCAGAUCCCAGGGCACAGGACAAUGCCUUGCCAGAGGUUGCCUUUGGGUGCCUGUGUCCAGCCUGGAGCUGGGUGGGGCACUGGGAUGCUGGGCUACUUGUGCCAAGACAGACCCUGCUCUGAGCCGGGCCCUGAGGCUGGCUGGAGGGCCACCUUGCGAGUCAGUCCCUCCUUUCCAUCUGUGAUCCUCUCUGGAAAAAGGUGGGGUUCACCUGACCAGCAGAUAGGCAUCCCAAGUCCAUGUGCUUCUCUGAGCCUCAGUUUCUUCACUGGAGAGGCGGGCCUAAUGUUUGAAUGUGUUGUGUUCACCAUGACAUGAGGGGCAAGUGUAAAGUGUAUAUGUGUGCAUGUGUGAGUUCAUGUGUGUGUGUGUCUAUUUACUUAAACCCAGCCUUGUUCCAGACUGGAUUUCAGGAUUCCUCUAAGAAGCUUUGGAAUGCCAGAAGAUACCACAAGUGAGAAGAAAAAAUAAGAGGAAGGACAUACUUCCCAUAUGGGGACAAAGUACAGCCACAGUGUCCUCCGCUUGGGCCAUGGAACAGCCGCAGGUUUUGCCCUGAUUACCCUGGUGGUAAAGUCUGAUUGGCUAUGACUCCCAGUGUCCAAAAGAUAAACACGGGCUGUGCAGUGGAGCCGCACACAUGCCUGUGCAUGGCCAUGCCAGGUCAGAAACCCAGCCCCUCUGCUUGGGAGGCACGCAGGGCUCUGGCUGAAGCCUGAAGCUUGCGAUCCUCAGAGCACAGACGUCCCAGGGCUGUGUGAAGUUAGUGAGACGAGGUGUACAGAGAGAGCUCAGGGAGGAGAGGGAGUCUCAAUUGCCGUCACCCGUGGCUCGGAGAUGCCUGUGACAGGUGACAGUGAUGUGCGUGGUGGUGUGUUCACUGAUGAUGCUACACUGUAGGCCCAGGGCUGUGUUGUGGUGACAGGUGUCCUCCUGAACCGUUUGACCUUUAGGGUGGCCCCCUUCACUCAAGCACUGGUCAUGGAGGGGCUCUGGUCACACAAGGACUCAGGCACGUUUUUGCCCCUGAGGAGCCCCCCAGCUUGGCAGGGCCCAGGGGCAGGGCGGGUGGGAUGGGUGUGCUCCAGCAGGUAGCAGGGACACCUGGCAAAUGGGGUCGAAUUGGGAGGCGUCUCAGGAGGUGGCCAUGGGCAGAGGGACAGGCUUCUGGUUCUUUGCCACUCUCCUCUUUGAAGUCCGGUGCCUGGGAACAGACCUGUGGUAGCUGCACCUGCUUGGGUAGGAAAUUGUGGGCUCUCUUCUCGCAGGGGGACAAGAGUCAUUUGCGGUACCUUCUGAGCAGGUGGGGGACAGCAAAGGACAAGAGGAGGCUGUGCCUGUGCAGCUGUGUGUCCCGGCACAGGCGCCACUUCACUCCCAUGCCACCACAUCCUCACUGGGUGACUUUGGGCAAGUGACCUGAACUCUGUGCCUCCAUCUCGUCUUCUGUAAAAUGGAUGGCACAUCCGAGCCCACCUCCCAGGCAGGGUGUUAUGAGGACAGGUGGGGGCACGUUCGCACAGUCCCCAGAAUGGUGCCCACGGCACCGGAGUGCUCCGUAGGGAAAUAGUGGCAGCUGGCACUGAGUCCCCAACAUAAGCCAGCACUGUGGGCCAGUGUUACGACUCCUGCUUUUGGGCACUUCACAAGCUAUGGCCAGGGGCCCACCACCUUUGGCCAUUCUUUCCCCACAAAAUUCCUGCCAGGGCCCUGCCAGAUCAAUAAGUCACAGGACUUCUCCAUCACAGAAGCCCAACUCUGUGACACCUCUUGGUCCCAGGCAUGUUCCUAUCCCCCAUUCAUGUGUUUUGUUAGGACCCUUUAGGGUUGCACGUGGCAGAAACUUAAUCCACACUAACUUUAGCAACUUUAGCGAAGAAGGAAUGUACUGGCUCCAGUCAGUGAAAAGUCCAGGAGGAGCCAUGCCUUCAGGCACGGCUGCAUCCAGGCACUCAACAGGUGCAUCCAGGCACUCACCAGGUGCAGCCAACACCUUGGCCCGCAGGCUGUCAGCUCCUGCCUUCUGCUGCAUGCGCGUCACUGUAGGUGGAUUUCUCCGCACAUGGGCGAGAUGGCCCCAGGAGCUCUGGCUCAUGGAGUCCUUGUAGCACCUGUCCUGGCCAUCCCCAGAAGAGAAAGCACCAUUUCCCAUGGCAGAAAUCUGGUGGAAACAGGAGAGAGGGGGUUGGCUCUCUUUGGUCGUAUCUGGGUCUUGUGCCCAUCUCUGGGAGAGAAAGGUCCUCACUCACAGAAACUGAGCAGAUCCUGGAUUGGAUGGGGAGAGAUGCUUUCAGACACACACACAUUCACUGCACUCACUGCAAGGAUAGUGACAAUAGUAGAAGCUGCUCUUUCUUGAGAAGUUAGGACGUGUGCCAGAAAAUUCUACCUUUUAAGGAUAUAGAGAGGUUUUUAUCAUCCCCAUUUUACAGAUGACAAAACUGAGGCUCUGAGAGGUGAAGUGAUUUGCCUAUGGAUGCAUAGCUAAGGUGUCCGAUGGAUCUGAUGGAAAGGUGGCAGGCGAAAUGCACCUGGCCUCAGCAUCAAGGGCCGUGAAUGCAGUGGCAGUCGUAGCUAUGUGGUCGGAGUGGACUAGGAUGGUCCUUCCACCAAGAAGGCUGGUCCUUCCUGCUCCUGAAUGUCCAGCUGCAGAAAGUGAUUGGGCUUGACACAACUGCCCCUUCCUCCACACACUCCCAAAUAUACCUACCCCCCCCAACCCAGUCCUCCUCGCCAGACUGUGGCUCCCGGAUGACAGGGCAGAGUUGGACUCACCUGUGCCUGCCAGGCCAGCUCACCAUGGGGGCAGGUCCCAAGAGGCCUCUGGAUUUGGACCAACUUCAGUGUGAGCUUGAACAAGCCCUUAGCCUCCCUCAGCCUCCGUUGCAUGAGGCGUUGUGCUGGUACGUCUCAGAGCAGGUGGCGCUACCUGGUGAGCCUGUCCAUCAGACAGGCUGUCCAUCAGAUAGAGCCUGGAUGGCUCUGUCCAUCAUCUUUGUCACUGUAAUGCUAGUUAACAAAUAAACAUGAAACAAUGAGUGGUCA